rnacentral:lncRNA from 1 species
CUCCACAACACACUACUUCCAUGAUGGCUAUUUAUUGAAUGAAUGAAUGAUUCCUAGUAAACUGACCUUUCUAGAAUAACUCUGGAUUCUUUUGCUUACAAAACCUCUAUUUUUCAUAGAUUAGUGUUCCACAUUUUUCAGAAUGUUUUUUCAUGCAGGGAAUGGGGGAGAGAGAAGAAAACCACUCUGUCUCUUGCUGUCUCCCCAGUCCAGUCAGCCUGGGAGGAGAGAACGGUCUUGAUAAACUAAUUCCCUGAUCUUUACUCUGAGUGACAGAAAGACACACCCAUAUAGGUCACCCCAACUCUUUUCUUUUCACCUCAGUAAAGGGUAAUUUCAAGAGGAUGUCAUCUCCCCUCAGUCUUCCAAGCACUUCACCCAACUGUUGUCUUUAAGGCUCCCAGCAAGUUACUGGAGCUGGAAGAAUAGGAAGAAAGGGCCAGUGUGGAGGCCUCGAAAGCUCUGGCAGCCAAAAGACUAUUCUAUUUUGCAGCAGUCUUUAAGGUAUCUCCUAAUCUGAGUCAUCUGAUUUCUUUUUUAUCCAUGAAUUUGUCUCCAGAGAUGGUUCUCUCAUCUGCUGGAAGCUGAUGGGGUGCAGGGUUUGAAUUCUGAUCGUUUACAGUUUUAAGUCUUGGUUUACCCGGAAGACCCACGGGUCAGUCUUUUUUUU